GACGAAGGAUGCAAGCGUUAUCCGGAUUCAUUGGGUUUAAAGGGUGCGUAGGCGGACUUGUAGGUCAGUGGUGAAAUCUCUUUGCUUAACAAAGAAACUGCCAUUGAUACUGCAGGUCUAGAGUAUAGAUGACGUUGGCGGAAUAUGACAUGUAGUGGUGAAAUACUUAGAUAUGUCAUAGAACACCGAUUGCGAAGGCAGCUAACGAAACUAUAACUGACGCUGAGGCACGAAAGUGCGGGGAUCAAACAGG
rnacentral:rRNA from 1 species